rnacentral:rRNA from 1 species
AGCAGCCGCGGUAAUUCCAGCUCCAAUAGCGUAUAUUAAAGUUGCUGUAGUUAAAAAGCUCGUAGUUGAAUUUCGGGAUCAAAUUGUCGGUCGUGCCUCGGUACGUACUGGUAUUAUUGGUUCCUCCCUUCUGACGAACCACGAUGUCAUUAAUUUGGUGUCAUGGGAAAUCAGGGCUGUUACUUUGAAGAAAUUAGAGUGUUUAAAGCAAGCUAACGCUUGAAUACAUUAGCAUGGAAUAAUGAAAUAGGACGUUCGAUCCUAUUUUGUUGGUUUCUAGGAUUGACGUAAUGAUUAAUAGGGAUAGUUGGGGGCAUUAGUAUUCAAUUGUCAGAGGUGAAAUUCUUGGAUUUAUUGAAGACUAACUACUGCGAAAGCAUUUGCCAAGGAUGUUUUCAUUAAUCAAGAACGAAAGUUAGGGGAUCGAAGACGAUCAGAUACCGUCGUAGUCUUAACCAUAAACUAUGCCGACUAGGGAUCGGAUGAUGUUAAUUUUUUAAUGACUCAUUCGGCGCCUUAC